GUGAGUAGGAGCAGGGCGGACGGGGCCGGGGCUGGGCAGGGCAGGCUUGCUGAGUUAGCUGGGCCCACCAUGCCCAGGUGCCUUCGCACGCAGGGCCUGGGACAUUGUGAGUGAUGGGCAGAGUGGAAUAAGCUGUUCUCAUAGGAGGACGAUGAGGGAACCCCAUGCCCAGCAGAGGAUGAGCUGACCAUGCAGGACAAUGGCUUCCUCAGCAAGAAUGAGGUACUGCGCAGCAAGGUGUCGAAGCUUACAGAGCGGCUCCGCAAGCGCUACCCGACCAACAACUUCGGGAACUGUGCAGGCUGUGCUGCCACCUUCUCCGUGCUGAAGAAGAGGCGAAGCUGCAGCAACUGUGGGAACAGCUUCUGCUCUCGGUGCUGCUCCUUCAAGGUGCCCAAGUCCUCCAUGGGGGCCACAGCUCCUGAAGCCCAGAGAGAGACUGUGUUUGUGUGUGCCUCCUGUAAUCAGACCUUGAGCAAAUGAGAAGAGAAGCCAGGCUCCAGCUGCCCUGGGGCCAGCAGU
rnacentral:lncRNA from 1 species